AUAAAGUUCCUUAGAAGAUUUUUUAAAUCUUCAUUUCCCCAACUACUAUAAUAAACAGCUAGUUGCCUUAGAGACCACUGCAGGUUUUACUAUUUUACAACCUGGCCUUUAGUACUGACAUUAGGCAAACUCAAUGUUGUUUAAUAGUGUCAAAGAAAAUACUGAAUGGUCUCCUCAUAAUCACACCAGAGAUUUUCCAAUUUGUGUUGAUAGUAGGGAGCUUCUGGUGAUCUGGGCUAAGGAGUAAGAUAAUGAAAAUAGAAUUUAGAAUGUUUUGCUUAGGAAUAGAUGUCCAAAUGGAUAAGACAAAAAAGGGACCAGAGACAAGAAUAUCAGAGAGGAAAUGGAUGCUUAAUGUGAAUUGAAGGAAUGUCUGAACUAGACUAAAAACCAAAAUUACAAAUGAGAAGCACAGGGAAACCAGGUGCUAACUGCAGCAUCCAGGAUGCAUGGUGAUGAAAUUACUAUUGGAUUAUAUAUGUAUUUCUUCUGGAAAACAGGACUUGAAUGCAAAGGCAGCACCAAGCACAUCUAGAGUGAAGAGUCUCAACAAGUAGCUUAACAAGAUAGUUUCAGGCCAAAGAUGAUGUAUUUAGUGGAAUUUAGAGAAUACCCCUUUAUUUGAAGUUUUCCUAUAUUGUUGUACUGGAAAUGCUUCACUGUAUUCAGUCAACUAGAGUGGGUACAUGGAAUUUUGAUAUUGCACCUGAUUUUGUCCCAUAGAACAAUUUAUUCCUCCAACACCUCCCUCAGGUGAAAAUUCAAGAAUUUGCAUGGGUAGUCAUUCUGAUGCAUAUCUCCAAGCUUGUAUCUUCUUCCUGCUGACAAUGAUUCAUUACAGUCUCUGGCUCUAUCUACAUGUGAUGUGUAAGAUGUCUGACAAAAGUCAGAGAAGCCCGUUGUUUUGUCUCCAAAUCUAAGGAUCGGUACUUUUGCCAGAUUGGGCUACUUCUGUUUGAAAAAGACAACUGUGGGGGUGGGAGAGAUUGCUGGUUAUCUUCCAAUACCUGUCUUCCUCUUCUUCCUGAAUAAAAAAUUUUAGCUGGGCACAUGGCUGGCUGAAUACAAGUUACAUUUUUCAGCAUCUUAUGCAACCAGGUAUGGCCAUGUGACUGGCCAGUAAGGGUGAGCAGAGAUGGUGUGUGCAGCUUCUGGUUCAUGCCCCUUGCUUUGUCCCACUGUUUGGAGUGCAGUGCAGGUAUGGCGGUAAGCCCUCUCAGACCCUGUGGUGGGCCCAGUUCCUUAGGGUAGUCAUCUCCAAACUUUGCUGCACAUUAGAAUUACCUGGGGAACUUUUAAAAAUCCCAGUUCCCAGGUCACACCAUGUGUACCAAUCAAAUGAGAAUGUCUCAGGGUGGAAGCCAGACAUCAUUGUUUAAAAAAAUCAAGUGAUUCCAGUGUGCAGCAGACUUUGGGAACCACUGCCUUGGGAGUUCCAGAGCAGGAACACUGAGGAAGUCUAUGUUGCUGACAGCAUUUUAGUCCAAGACUGCCUACAACAAGGCCAUCACAUGUCAGAGAAACAGAUUUCUACUUUGCCAAGCUAGACACUAUUUCAGUGUCUCAUGGAGUGAACAUCUCUAAAUUCCUAAAAAGUCGUAAGAUUUAGUGUUCAGUAGGCCCAUGUGAUAUCAUCUUUAGGAUACAAGUUCUUGUUUUGAUUUUGCUGAGCACUCCGUGGUGAAAAUCAGUGGUGGAUGCAGCAGCAUUGUUAGUGCUUCGUGUUCCUAAUUUGUUCUUAGUAUCAAAAAGAGCCAUCAGUUCCCAGUGCUCAUCAUCGGCCCCUUGGCCUUCUUCAUUUCCCACUCCUUGCUAGUUAAAUUCAGGGGCUCAAUGGGUAGGUGAUCCCAGUACUUGUGGCCACUUAUGCGACACAGAUUGAUUUAUUCUUGACAACUUAGUGUGCUUUCUCCAUUUUGGUCAAUGAUGUGGGUAGUCAUCCAGGUAGAUAUCCUGUCCUAUUUACCAGUUGCGAGUUUCUCAUUUCCUAAUUGGUUUUCCUACCUUCAGUCUUGCCACACUUUGAUCCACUUGUACAUUACGGAAAGAAGUAGCUCUAAAACAAAUAAGACCCUGUAACUGCUGCUUAACAGCCUUCAUUAACAGCUUUUUGUCUCAAAGUCCAAACACAAGGUUUUUCACCAUUCAGAUUUAAAGAGCCACCACUUUCCUUGCCAUGGUGAGGGCCAGCGUUACUAUAUUACAUUCAUUCCUGUUGAAUGAGAUGCAGCUUUAGAUUUUUUUCAUUUUACUGUAUUCCAAGUUAGAGUUGGCUUGAAAGAUGAAAGAUGUCAUGGUUUGGGUUUACCAAGAAGCAGACUGUGAGAUAAGAAUAUGAGUAUAAGUAGUUUAUUUUAGAGGUAAUCUUAAGGAAUCUCCCAGUUACACUGUGGACACUUGCAUCUCAAUCCCACUGGAAAACUCAACACUAGAAUAGUUCUCAGUUAUACCACCCAAGGGGGGAAGAAGCUGGAGCAUUUAUCUACCAACUGCCAUUUUGCCGUUGGUUGAGUGCUGCUUUCAGGGAUA
rnacentral:lncRNA from 1 species